AUAAUUUAUUUAGUCCUACCCAGGGAGUUGACCAGAACCAACAUGGAACCACCCUAACUUGCUUCAGACUCCAUUGCUAGAUCAAUCCUGAUUUCUAGAUCAUAGCAUCUAAUCUUUGCCUUGCCUCUGGAUUACAAGGGUGGAACCAAGCAGAGGGGUUCACCCAAGCCAUCCUUGGGUGCUUCCAUGGGAAAGAAGGAUUUCACUGAGAAUAAUAAGUGACACCAAGGCUCAAAAGAAUGAGAGAGAAGUCUGUUGGUCUCUUGAACAGCAGGGAUUUGCUCACACAUCUCUGGAAGUAGCCAGAAUGUGACAGGAUCUCAAAAUGAAUGGCUGCUUCAUGGAGGCUGGAACAUAAGCCUGGGACUCCCAGUAGCCAAACAUAGCUGUGCCACAAACAUGGCUGAAAUGUAGCAGUUUGGUGGAUCCGAGGUCAGUCAUUGAAAAUGUAUUGAUUGGCACCUAUUCGUUGUCAAUCAUUAUUCUGGGUUCUGGGGUCACAGGAGCAAAUGAAACAAAUGAAGUACCUGCCAUCAAUGAGCUUACAUUCUAGUAAAGAGGGACAGAAAAUGAAUACAUUUUAAAUGAAUAAAUUCAGAUACCGCUAAAUGUAGUGAAGAAAAAAAUUGGGCUAAAGAGAGCGAAAAACAAUUUCUGAAGUUACUAGCAGUAAAGGGUGGGGGAAGAGAAGAGAUGGAUUUAACCAGGAAAGAUCUGAGCUGAGGGUGUAUCCAGGUUUUCUGGAACCUGAUAUUAUUACAGUUUAGAGAUUCUUCUUCAAGAAAAAGACUUUAAAAUUACAAAUGAUUAACUUCAGGGCCUUAGAAGGGGUCCACUCAAGUGAGCAGAAAAUUAUGUGCUCCUUAUAAAAUAUAUGAUUUAAAACUACAACAGUGGCUGGCCGUGGUGGCGCAUGCCUGUAAUCCCAGCACUUUGGGAGGCUGAGGCAGGUGGAUCGCGAAGUAAAGAGAUCGAGACCAACCUGGCCAACAUGGUGAAACCCCGUCUCUACUAAAAAUACAAAAAUCAGCUGGGCGUGGUGGUGUGUGCCUGGUGUCCCAGCUACUUGGGAGGCAGAGGCAGGAGAAUCGCUUGAACCUGGGAGGUGGAGGUUGCAGUGAGCCGAGAUUGUGCCACUGCACUCCAGCCUGGCGACAGAGUGAGACUGUCUCAAAAAAAAAAAAAAAAAAAACUAUAA